rnacentral:tRNA from 1 species
GCUGUGGGGGUUCAAUGGUAGACUUUUUGCCUUCCAUGUAGAAGACCCGGGUUCGAUUUCCAGCCAAUGCA